rnacentral:rRNA from 1 species
AAGCCCUAAACAUUGACAAUAUUCAUACACAAUUGUUCGCCAGAGGACUACAAGCGAAAAGCUUAAAACUCAAAGGACUUGACGGUGUCCCACAUCAACCUARAGGAGCCUGUCCUAUAAUCGAUACCCCACGCUAAACCUCACCCCUCCUAGCCAUCAGCCUAUAUACCGCCGUCAAAAGCCAACCUCAUGAGAGACCCACUAGUCGGCAAAACGGUUAACAACAAAAAAGUCAGGUCAAGGUGUAGCCAAUGAAGGGGGCAGAGAUGGGCUACAUUUUCUUCCAUAGACCAUACGAAUAACAUAGUGAAACUUAUGUUUAAAGGAGGAUUUAGAAGUAAGACAAACAAGAAUACUUGUCUUAAACAAGCUCUGGGACGCGUACACACCGCCCGUCA